rnacentral:rRNA from 1 species
UACACUCCUACGGGAGGCAGCAGUGGGGAAUUUUGGACAAUGGGCGAAAGCCUGAUCCAGCAAUGCCGCGUGAGUGAAGAAGGCCUUCGGGUUGUAAAGCUCUUUUGUCAGGGAAGAAACGGUGAGAGCUAAUAUCUUUUGCUAAUGACGGUACCUGAAGAAUAAGCACCGGCUAACUACGUGCCAGCAGCCGCGGUAAUACGUAGGGUGCAAGCGUUAAUCGGAAUUACUGGGCGUAAAGCGUGCGCAGGCGGUUUUGUAAGUCUGAUGUGAAAGCCCCGGGCUCAACCUGGGAAUUGCAUUGGAGACGGCAAGGCUAGAAUCUGGCAGAGGGGGGUAGAAUUCCACGUGUAGCAGUGAAAUGCGUAGAUAUGUGGAGGAACACCGAUGGCGAAGGCAGCCCCCUGGGUCAAGAUUGACGCUCAUGCACGAAAGCGUGGGGAGCAAACAGGAUUAGAUACCCGUGUAGUCCCAU